rnacentral:rRNA from 1 species
GAUGAACGCUGGCGGCGUGCCUAAUACAUGCAAGUCGAGCGAACAGACGAGGAGCUUGCUCCUUUGACGUUAGCGGCGGACGGGUGAGUAACACGUAGAUAACCUACCUAUAAGACUGGGAUAACUUCGGGAAACCGGAGCUAAUACCGGAUAAUAUUUCGAACCGCAUGGUUCGAUAGUGAAAGACGGCUUUGCUAUCACUUAUAGAUGGACCCGCGCCGUAUUAGCUAGUUGGUAAGGUAACGGCUUACCAAGGCGACGAUGCGUAGCCGACCUGAGAGGGUGAUCGGCCACACUGGAACUGAGACACGGUCCAGACUCCUACGGGAGGCAGCAGUAGGGAAUCUUCCGCAAUGGGCGAAAGCCUGACGGAGCAACGCCGCGUGAGUGAUGAAGGUCUUCGGAUCGUAAAACUCUGUUAUUAGGGAAGAACAAACGUGUAAGUAACUAUGCACGUCUUGACGGUACCUAAUCAGAAAGCCACGGCUAACUACGUG